AUACGUAGGUGGCAAGCGUUGUCCGGAAUUAUUGGGCGUAAAGCGCAUGUAGGCGGCGGUUUAAGUCUGUCGUGAAACUGCGGGGCUCAGCCCCGUAUGGCGAUGGAAACUGGACGGCUUGAGUGCAGGAGAGGAAAGGGGAACUCCCAGGGUAGCGGUGAAAUGCGUAGAUAUUGGGAAGAACACCGGUGGCGAAGGCGCCUUUCUGGACUGUGUCUGACGCUGAGAUGCGAAAGCCAGGGUAGCGAACGGGAUUAGAUACCCCGGUAGUCCUGGCCGUAAACGAUGGGUACUAGGUGUGGGAGGUAUCGACCCCUUCCGUGCCGGAGUUAACGCAAUAAGUACCCCGCCUGGGGAGUACGGCCGCAAGGCUUAAACUCAAAGGAAUUGACGGGG
rnacentral:rRNA from 1 species